rnacentral:rRNA from 1 species
CCAAUAGCGUAUAUUAAAGUUGUUGCAGUUAAAAAGCUCGUAGUUGAAUUUCGGGAUCAAUAUGUUGGUCGUGCCUUGGUACGUACUAAUUUAUUGGUUUCUUCCUUCUGACGAGCCAUGAUGUCAUUAAUUUGGUGUCUUGGGGAAUCAGGACUGUUACUUUGAAAAAAUUAGAGUGUUUAAAGCAGGCUCACGCUUGAAUACAUUAGCAUGGAAUAAUGAAAUAGGACGUUUGAUUCUAUUUUGUUGGUUUCUAGGAUUGACGUAAUGAUUAAUAGGGAUAGUUGGGGGCAUUAGUAUUCAAUUGUCAGAGGUUAAAUUCUUGGAUUUAUUGAAGACUAACUACUGCGAAAGCAUUUGCCAAGGAUGUUUUCAUUAAUCAAGAACGAAAGUUAGGGGAUCGAAGACGAUCAGAUACCGUCGUAGUCUUAACCAUAAACUAUGCCGACCAGGGAUCGGAUGAUGUUAAUUUUUUAAUGACUCAUUCGGCGCCUUACG